rnacentral:rRNA from 1 species
ACCCUUGUCCUUAUUUGCCAGCAACUCGGUUGGGCACUCUAGGGAGACUGCCGGUGACAAGCCGGAGGAAGGUGGGGACGACGUCAAGUCAUCAUGGCCCUUACGGCCAGGGCUACACACGUGCUACAAUGGGGCGUACAAAGGGCUGCAAGCCUGCGAAGGUAAGCUAAUCCUCAAAACGUCUCGUAGUCCGGAUCGCAGUCUGCAACUCGACUGCGUGAAGUCGGAAUCGCUAGUAAUCGUAGAUCANCAUGCUACGGUGAAUACGUUCCCGGGCCUUGUACACA